UGUAAAGGUUGGACCUUAGGACCUGAUU
rnacentral:piRNA from 1 species